GGCCUAUUAGCUCAGUUUGAUAGAGCGUUGUGCUAAUAACGCAAAGCUCGCAGGUUUGACACCUGCAUGGGCCA